rnacentral:rRNA from 1 species
CGGCAAGACGGAAAGACCCCGUGAACCUUUACUAUAGCUUGACACUGAACAUUGAGCCUUGAUGUGUAGGAUAGGUGGGAGGCUUUGAAGCGUGGACGCAGUCUGCGUGGAGCCAACCUUGAAAUACCACCCUUUAAUGUUUGAUGUUCUAACGUUGGCCCUUACCGGGGUUGCGGACAGUGUCUGGUGGGUAGUUUGACUGGGGCGGUCUCCUCCCAAAGCGUAACGGAGGAGCACGAAGGUUAGCUAAUCCUGGU